rnacentral:rRNA from 1 species
UGGCGGCGAGUGGCGAACGGGUGAGUAAUACAUCGGAACGUAUCCUGGAGUGGGGGAUAGCCCGGCGAAAGCCGGAUUAAUACCGCAUACGCUCUGAGGAGGAAAGCGGGGGACCUUCGGGCCUCGCGCUCAAGGGGCGGCCGAUGGCGGAUUAGGUAGUUGGUGGGGUAAAGGCCUACCAAGCCGACGAUCCGUAGCUGGUCUGAGAGGACGACCAGCCACACUGGGACUGAGACACGGCCCAGACUCCUACGGGAGGCAGCAGUGGGGAAUUUUGGACAAUGGGGGCAACCCUGAUCCAGUAAUGCCGCGUGUGUGAAGAAGGCCUUCGGGUUGUAAAGCACUUUUGUCCGGAAAGAAAUCAUCGGGGCCAAUACCCCUGGUGGAUGACGGUACCGGAAGAAUAAGCAC